GGUUAAGCGACUAAGCGUACACGGUGGAUGCCCUGGCAGUCAGAGGCGAUGAAGGACGUGCUAAUCUGCGAUAAGCGUCGGUAAGGUGAUAUGAACCGUUAUAACCGGCGAUUUCCGAAUGGGGAAACCCAGUGUGUUUCGACACACUAUCAUUAACUGAAUCCAUAGGUUAAUGAGGCGAACCGGGGGAACUGAAACAUCUAAGUACCCCGAGGAAAAGAAAUCAACCGAGAUUCCCCCAGUAGCGGCGAGCGAACGGGGAGCAGCCCAGAGCCUGAAUCAGUGUGUGUGUUAGUGGAAGCGUCUGGAAAGGCGCGCGAUACAGGGUGACAGCCCCGUACACAAAAAUGCACAUGCUGUGAGCUCGAUGAGUAGGGCGGGACACGUGGUAUCCUGUCUGAAUAUGGGGGGACCAUCCUCCAAGGCUAAAUACUCCUGACUGACCGAUAGUGAACCAGUACCGUGAGGGAAAGGCGAAAAGAACCCCGGCGAGGGGAGUGAAAAAGAACCUGAAACCGUGUACGUACAAGCAGUGGGAGCACGCUUAGGCGUGUGACUGCGUACCUUUUGUAUAAUGGGUCAGCGACUUAUAUUCUGUAGCAAGGUUAACCGAAUAGGGGAGCCGAAGGGAAACCGAGUCUUAACUGGGCGUUAAGUUGCAGGGUAUAGACCCGAAACCCGGUGAUCUAGCCAUGGGCAGGUUGAAGGUUGGGUAACACUAACUGGAGGACCGAACCGACUAAUGUUGAAAAAUUAGCGGAUGACUUGUGGCUGGGGGUGAAAGGCCAAUCAAACCGGGAGAUAGCUGGUUCUCCCCGAAAGCUAUUUAGGUAGCGCCUCGUGAAUUCAUCUCCGGGGGUAGAGCACUGUUUCGGCAAGGGGGUCAUCCCGACUUACCAACCCGAUGCAAACUGCGAAUACCGGAGAAUGUUAUCACGGGAGACACACGGCGGGUGCUAACGUCCGUCGUGAAGAGGGAAACAACCCAGACCGCCAGCUAAGGUCCCAAAGUCAUGGUUAAGUGGGAAACGAUGUGGGAAGGCCCAGACAGCCAGGAUGUUGGCUUAGAAGCAGCCAUCAUUUAAAGAAAGCGUAAUAGCUCACUGGUCGAGUCGGCCUGCGCGGAAGAUGUAACGGGGCUAAACCAUGCACCGAAGCUGCGGCAGCGACGCUGAUGCGUUGUUGGGUAGGGGAGCGUUCUGUAAGCCUGCGAAGGUGUGCUGUGAGGCAUGCUGGAGGUAUCAGAAGUGCGAAUGCUGACAUAAGUAACGAUAAAGCGGGUGAAAAGCCCGCUCGCCGGAAGACCAAGGGUUCCUGUCCAACGUUAAUCGGGGCAGGGUGAGUCGACCCCUAAGGCGAGGCCGAAAGGCGUAGUCGAUGGGAAACAGGUUAAUAUUCCUGUACUUGGUGUUACUGCGAAGGGGGGACGGAGAAGGCUAUGUUGGCCGGGCGACGGUUGUCCCGGUUUAAGCGUGUAGGCUGGUUUUCCAGGCAAAUCCGGAAAAUCAAGGCUGAGGCGUGAUGACGAGGCACUACGGUGCUGAAGCAACAAAUGCCCUGCUUCCAGGAAAAGCCUCUAAGCAUCAGGUAACAUCAAAUCGUACCCCAAACCGACACAGGUGGUCAGGUAGAGAAUACCAAGGCGCUUGAGAGAACUCGGGUGAAGGAACUAGGCAAAAUGGUGCCGUAACUUCGGGAGAAGGCACGCUGAUAUGUAGGUGAAGUCCCUCGCGGAUGGAGCUGAAAUCAGUCGAAGAUACCAGCUGGCUGCAACUGUUUAUUAAAAACACAGCACUGUGCAAACACGAAAGUGGACGUAUACGGUGUGACGCCUGCCCGGUGCCGGAAGGUUAAUUGAUGGGGUUAGCGCAAGCGAAGCUCUUGAUCGAAGCCCCGGUAAACGGCGGCCGUAACUAUAACGGUCCUAAGGUAGCGAAAUUCCUUGUCGGGUAAGUUCCGACCUGCACGAAUGGCGUAAUGAUGGCCAGGCUGUCUCCACCCGAGACUCAGUGAAAUUGAACUCGCUGUGAAGAUGCAGUGUACCCGCGGCAAGACGGAAAGACCCCGUGAACCUUUACUAUAGCUUGACACUGAACAUUGAGCCUUGAUGUGUAGGAUAGGUGGGAGGCUUAGAAGUGUGGACGCCAGUCUGCAUGGAGCCGACCUUGAAAUACCACCCUUUAAUGUUUGAUGUUCUAACGUUGACCCGUAAUCCGGGUUGCGGACAGUGUCUGGUGGGUAGUUUGACUGGGGCGGUCUCCUCCUAAAGAGUAACGGAGGAGCACGAAGGUUGGCUAAUCCUGGUCGGACAUCAGGAGGUUAGUGCAAUGGCAUAAGCCAGCUUGACUGCGAGCGUGACGGCGCGAGCAGGUGCGAAAGCAGGUCAUAGUGAUCCGGUGGUUCUGAAUGGAAGGGCCAUCGCUCAACGGAUAAAAGGUACUCCGGGGAUAACAGGCUGAUACCGCCCAAGAGUUCAUAUCGACGGCGGUGUUUGGCACCUCGAUGUCGGCUCAUCACAUCCUGGGGCUGAAGUAGGUCCCAAGGGUAUGGCUGUUCGCCAUUUAAAGUGGUACGCGAGCUGGGUUUAGAACGUCGUGAGACAGUUCGGUCCCUAUCUGCCGUGGGCGCUGGAGAACUGAGGGGGGCUGCUCCUAGUACGAGAGGACCGGAGUGGACGCAUCACUGGUGUUCAGGUUGUCAUGCCAAUGGCACUGCCCGGUAGCUAAAUGCGGAAGAGAUAAGUGCUGAAAGCAUCUAAGCACGAAACUUGCCCCGAGAUGAGUUCUCCCUGACCCUUUAAGGGUCCUGAAGGAACGUUGAAGACGACGACGUUGAUAGGCCGGGUGUGUAAGCGCAGCGAUGCGUUGAGCUAACCGGUACUAAUGAACCGUGAGGCUUAACCUU
rnacentral:rRNA from 1 species